rnacentral:rRNA from 1 species
UUAAGUUAUUAAGGGCGCACGGUGGAUGCCUUGGCACUAGAAGCCGAUGAAGGACGUUACUAACGACGAUAUGCUUUGGGGAGCUGUAAGUAAGCUUUGAUCCAGAGAUUUCCGAAUGGGGAAACCCAGCAUGAGUUAUGUCAUGUUAUCGAUAUGUGAAUACAUAGCAUAUCAGAAGGCACACCCGGAGAACUGAAACAUCUUAGUACCCGGAGGAAGAGAAAGAAAAUUCGAUUCCCUUAGUAGCGGCGAGCGAAACGGGAAGAGCCCAAACCAACAAGCUUGCUUGUUGGGGUUGUAGGACACUCUGUACGGAGUUACAAAGGACAACAUUAGACGAAUCAUCUGGAAAGAUGAAUCAAAGAAGGUAAUAAUCCUGUAGUCGAAAAUGUUGUCUCUCUUGAGUGGAUCCUGAGUACGACGGAGCACGUGAAAUUCCGUCGGAAUCUGGGAGGACCAUCUCCUAAGGCUAAAUACUCUCUAGUGACCGAUAGUGAACCAGUACCGUGAGGGAAAGGUGAAAAGCACCCCGGAAGGGGAGUGAAAUAGAACCUGAAACCGUGUGCUUACAAGUAGUCAGAGCCCGUUAAUGGGUGAUGGCGUGCCUUUUGUAGAAUGAACCGGCGAGUUACGAUUUGAUGCAAGGUUAAGCAGUAAAUGUGGAGCCGUAGCGAAAGCGAGUCUGAAUAGGGCGUUUAGUAUUUGGUCGUAGACCCGAAACCAGGUGAUCUACCCUUGGUCAGGUUGAAGUUCAGGUAACACUGAAUGGAGGACCGAACCGACUUACGUUGAAAAGUGAGCGGAUGAACUGAGGGUAGCGGAGAAAUUCCAAUCGAACCUGGAGAUAGCUGGUUCUCUCCGAAAUAGCUUUAGGGCUAGCCUCAAGUGAUGAUUAUUGGAGGUAGAGCACUGUUUGGACGAGGGGCCCCUCUCGGGUUACCGAAUUCAGACAAACUCCGAAUGCCAAUUAAUUUAACUUGGGAGUCAGAACAUGGGUGAUAAGGUCCGUGUUCGAAAGGGAAACAGCCCAGACCACCAGCUAAGGUCCCAAAAUAUAUGUUAAGUGGAAAAGGAUGUGGCGUUGCCCAGACAACUAGGAUGUUGGCUUAGAAGCAGCCAUCAUUUAAAGAGUGCGUAAUAGCUCACUAGUCGAGUGACACUGCGCCGAAAAUGUACCGGGGCUAAACAUAUUACCGAAGCUGUGGAUUGUCCUUUGGACAAUGGUAGGAGAGCGUUCUAAGGGCGUUGAAGCAUGAUCGUAAGGACAUGUGGAGCGCUUAGAAGUGAGAAUGCCGGUGUGAGUAGCGAAAGACGGGUGAGAAUCCCGUCCACCGAUUGACUAAGGUUUCCAGAGGAAGGCUCGUCCGCUCUGGGUUAGUCGGGUCCUAAGCUGAGGCCGACAGGCGUAGGCGAUGGAUAACAGGUUGAUAUUCCUGUACCACCUAUAAUCGUUUUAAUCGAUGGGGGGACGCAGUAGGAUAGGCGAAGCGUGCGAUUGGAUUGCACGUCUAAGCAGUAAGGCUGAGUAUUAGGCAAAUCCGGUACUCGUUAAGGCUGAGCUGUGAUGGGGAGAAGACAUUGNGUCUUCGAGUCGUUGAUUUCACACUGCCGAGAAAAGCCUCUAGAUAGAAAAUAGGUGCCCGUACCGCAAACCGACACAGGUAGUCAAGAUGAGAAUUCUAAGGUGAGCGAGCGAACUCUCGUUAAGGAACUCGGCAAAAUGACCCCGUAACUUCGGGAGAAGGGGUGCUCUUUAGGGUUAACGCCCAGAAGAGCCGCAGUGAAUAGGCCCAAGCGACUGUUUAUCAAAAACACAGGUCUCUGCUAAACCGUAAGGUGAUGUAUAGGGGCUGACGCCUGCCCGGUGCUGGAAGGUUAAGAGGAGUGGUUAGCUUCUGCGAAGCUACGAAUCGAAGCCCCAGUAAACGGCGGCCGUAACUAUAACGGUCCUAAGGUAGCGAAAUUCCUUGUCGGGUAAGUUCCGACCCGCACGAAAGGCGUAACGAUUUGGGCACUGUCUCAACGAGAGACUCGGUGAAAUCAUAGUACCUGUGAAGAUGCAGGUUACCCGCGACAGGACGGAAAGACCCCGUGGAGCUUUACUGUAGCCUGAUAUUGAAAUUCGGCACAGCUUGUACAGGAUAGGUAGGAGCCUUUGAAACGUGAGCGCUAGCUUACGUGGAGGCGCUGGUGGGAUACUACCCUAGCUGUGUUGGCUUUCUAACCCGCACCACUUAUCGUGGUGGGAGACAGUGUCANGCGGGCAGUUUGACUGGGGCGGUCGCCUCCUAAAAGGUAACGGAGGCGCUCAAAGGUUCCCUCAGAAUGGUUGGAAAUCAUUCAUAGAGUGUAAAGGCAUAAGGGAGCUUGACUGCGAGACCUACAAGUCGAGCAGGGUCGAAAGACGGACUUAGUGAUCCGGUGGUUCCGCAUGGAAGGGCCAUCGCUCAACGGAUAAAAGCUACCCCGGGGAUAACAGGCUUAUCUCCCCCAAGAGUUCACAUCGACGGGGAGGUUUGGCACCUCGAUGUCGGCUCAUCGCAUCCUGGGGCUGUAGUCGGUCCCAAGGGUUGGGCUGUUCGCCCAUUAAAGCGGUACGCGAGCUGGGUUCAGAACGUCGUGAGACAGUUCGGUCCCUAUCCGUCGUGGGCGUAGGAAAUUUGAGAGGAGCUGUCCUUAGUACGAGAGGACCGGGAUGGACAUACCUCUGGUGUACCAGUUGUCGUGCCAACGGCAUAGCUGGGUAGCUAUGUGUGGACGGGAUAAGUGCUGAAAGCAUCUAAGCAUGAAGCCCCCCUCAAGAUGAGAUUUCCCAACUUCGGUUAUAAGAUCCCUCAAAGAUGAUGAGGUUAAUAGGUUCGAGGUGGAAGCAUGGUGACAUGUGGAGCUGACGAAUACUAAUCGAUCGAAGACUUAAUCAA